UCCCUGAUGGCUUAGUUGGUAAAGAACCUGCCUGCAGUGCAGGAGACCCAGGUUCAAUCCUUUGGUGGGGGG
rnacentral:tRNA from 1 species